AUGGGGGAAGGGGAGAGUUAUAGUGCCAGGGUAGUUGGCAAAAGACUGCUCAAGUCAGGAUGCCUCCAGCAGGUGAACGAACCCAGGGAAGUGCACGUGGGAUGUGGCUAUGGAGGACCCUCUUUUACCCCUCCUGGAAAACCUGCAUGYUUGAUCACCUCCCUGAAAUGCCUGUACACCAAUGCACGCAGCUUGGGGAACAAACAGGAAGAACUAGAGAUMUGUGUGCAGUCGCAGGGCCAUGAUCUCAUUGCCAUUACAGAGACACGGUGGGAUAGCUCGCGUGACUGGAGUGCCGUCAUGGAUGACUACGUGCUUUUUAGGAAAGACAAGCCAGGAAAGCGAGGUGGUGGAGUUGCUCUUUACGUGAGAGAGCAACUGGAAUGUAUCAAGCUCUGCCUAGGGGUGGAUGAAGAGCGAGUCGAGAGCUUAUGGGUAAGGAUUAAAGUGCAGGCUAGCAUGGGUGACACUGCUGUGGGUGUUUACUACAGGCCACCUGAUCAGGAAGAGGAAGUCGAUGAGGCCUUCUACAGACAGCUGGAAGUAGCCUCACGAUCCCAGGCCCUGGUUCUCAUGGGGGACUUCAACCACCCCGAUAUCUGCUGGAAAGACAACACAGCUAGGCACAAACAGUCCUGGAGGUUCCUGCAGAGCAUUGGUGACAACUUCUUGACACAGGUGGUGGAGGAGCCAACAAGGAGAGGUGUGCUGCUGGACCUCGUACUAACAAACAAAGAAGGACUGGUGGAAGAUGUGAAGGUCGGGGGCAGCCUUAGCUGCAGUGACCAUGAGAGGGUGGAGUUCAGGAUCCUGCGAGGAGGAGGCAGGGCGCUAAGCAGGAUCGCAACCCUGGACUUCAGGAGAGCAAACUUUGGCCUCUUCAGGGACCUACUUGGAGGAAUCCCAUGGGUUAGGGCCCUAGAAGGAAGGGGUGUCCAAGAGAGCUGGUUAAUAUUCAAACAUCACUUCCUCCAGGCUCAAGAUUGGUGCAUGCCUAUGAGUAGGAAGUCAAGCAAAGGAGGGAGGAGACCUGCAUGGACGAGCAAGGAGCUCCUGGCAAAACUCAACCAGAAGAAGGAAGUAUACAGAAAGUGGAAAGGGGGAUAG
ensembl:lncRNA